rnacentral:rRNA from 1 species
GGGGAAUAUUGCACAAUGGGCGAAAGCCUGAUGCAGCAACGCCGCGUGUGUGAAGAAGGUCUUCGGAUUGUAAAGCACUUUAAGUUGGGAGGAAGAGCAGUUACCUAAUACGUGAUUGUUUUGACGUUACCGACAGAAUAAGCACCGGCUAACUCUGUGCCAGCAGCCGCGGUAAUACAGAGGGUGCAAGCGUUAAUCGGAAUUACUGGGCGUAAAGCGCGCGUAGGUGGUUAGUUAAGUUGGAUGUGAAAUCCCCGGGCUCAACCUUGGAACUGCAUUCAAAACUGACUGACUAGAGUAUGGUAGAGGGUGGUGGAAUUUCCUGUGUAGCGGUGAAAUGCGUAGAUAUAGGAAGGAACACCAGUGGCGAAGGCGACCACCUGGACUGAUACUGACACUGAGGUGCGAAAGCGUGGGGAGCAAAC